UACGGGGGGGGUAAGCGUUGUUCGGAAUUACUGGGCGUAAAGGGCUCGUAGGCGGCCAACUAAGUCAUACGUGAAAUCCCUCGGCUUAACCGGGGAACUGCGUCUGAUACUGGAUGGCUUGAGUUUGGGAGAGGGAUGCGGAAUUCCAGGUGUAGCGGUGAAAUGCGUAGAUAUCUGGAGGAACACCGGUGGCGAAGGCGGCAUCCUGGACCAACACUGACGCUGAGUGAGCGAAAGCCAGGGGAGCAAACGGG
rnacentral:rRNA from 1 species